rnacentral:rRNA from 1 species
UGGGGAAUAUUGCACAAUGGGCGCAAGCCUGAUGCAGCCAUGCCGCGUGUAUGAAGAAGGCCUUCGGGUUGUAAAGUACUUUCAGCGGGGAGGAAGGUGUUGAGGUUAAUAACCUCAGCAAUUGACGUUACCCGCAGAAGAAGCACCGGCUAACUCCGUGCCAGCAGCCGCGGUAAUACGGAGGGUGCAAGCGUUAAUCGGAAUUACUGGGCGUAAAGCGCACGCAUGCGGUCUGUCAAGUCGGAUGUGAAAUCCCCGGGCUCAACCUGGGAACUGCAUUCGAAACUGGCAGGCUAGAGUCUUGUAGAGGGGGGUAGAAUUCCAGGUGUAGCGGUGAAAUGCGUAGAGAUCUGGAGGAAUACCGGUGGCGAAGGCGGCCCCCUGGACAAAGACUGACGCUCAGGUGCGAAAGCGUGGGGAGCAAACA